AAUAGUAACUUUAACGCUCGUAUAUCCCCUGAAUAUGGCAGGGAGUCUCUACCGGAAACCGUUAAUUUCCGACUAUGGGUGAAACUUUAAUA
rnacentral:ncRNA from 1 species